UACACUCCUACGGGAGGCAGCAGUGGGGAAUUUUGGACAAUGGGCGAAAGCCUGAUCCAGCAAUGCCGCGUGAGUGAAGAAGGCCUUCGGGUUGUAAAGCUCUUUUGUCAGGGAAGAAACGGUGAAAGCUAAUAUCUUUUGCUAAUGACGGUACCUGAAGAAUAAGCACCGGCUAACUACGUGCCAGCAGCCGCGGUAAUACGUAGGGUGCAAGCGUUAAUCGGAAUUACUGGGCGUAAAGCGUGCGCAGGCGGUUUUGUAAGUCUGAUGUGAAAUCCCCGGGCUCAACCUGGGAAUUGCAUUGGGGACUGCAAGGCUAGAAUCUGGCAGAGGGGGGUAGAAUUCCACGUGUAGCAGUGAAAUGCGUAGAUAUGUGGAGGAACACCGAUGGCGAAGGCAGCCCCCUGGGUCAAGAUUGACGCUCAUGCACGAAAGCGUGGGGAGCAAACAGGAUUAGAUACCCGUGUAGUCC
rnacentral:rRNA from 1 species